rnacentral:lncRNA from 1 species
AUCAAAAGGAAAAUUUUCUCUUCGCUGUUCAAAUGUAGUCAUGAUCACAGCAAGAUCAAAUGAGUUCAGUGGGGUACAGAGGAGAAAAAGAUGAGUGAACACAGAUGUGUGGUGUUCUGAGCAAGUAUAAGAGCAGUGCUUUUCUGCUUGCAUGGACACUGUGAUGGAGGACAAGUCUAUGCACACACCAUGUUGGGGCCAAUAAAUGAGGAUCCUUUCUAGGAAACUGUGAGUCCUUGAGAUUCUUGCAUAUUGUCUAAAGUUCCAGGUAACCUUCUGACUUCUU